rnacentral:tRNA from 1 species
GAGGGCAUAGUUCAGUGGUAGAGUGUGUGCUUAGCAUGCACAAGGUCCUGGGUUCAAUCCCCAGUACCUCCA